AAGCCCGCGUCGCCCGCGUUUUCAGUUUGCUGCUGGUCUGCUGUUGUCCGCUGCUUCCAGUUUCAGAAUUUCUUUCUCUAUGGUUUCAGCGUGGUUUCAGCCACUUCAACUGCUUCGACUACGUUGCCAAUCAAUAGAACAGCAAGGACGAACAUGCCAGCGGUUAGUACGGGCAAGAAAUAACCGAUGAGAAGACUGACAUUGUUGUUUCAAGCCGCAAAGGCCAUGGCAACUGCACCUACACCUCGACACCGCGCGGUGGUGCUUGUCGACAUGGACUGCUUCUACGUGCAAGUGGAGCAGCGGCUGGCUCCCGACUGGAACGGCAAGCCCUGUGCGGUGGCACAGUACAACACUUUCCAAGGAGGAGGGCUGAUAGCGGUCAACUAUGAGGCCAGGGCAUGUGGGGUCAAGCGUGGCAUGAGGGGCGAGGAGGCCGCCAAGUUGGCCAAGGAUCUGCACCUGUUCCGAGUGCCAGAGGUCAGGGGCAAGGCUGACCUCACCAGGUAUCGGGACGCAGGUGCUGAAGUCCUCUCUGUGCUGUGCCAGUUCAGCGAAGUGGUGGAACGAGCCAGCGUGGACGAAGCAUAUCUGGACCUCACAGAAGCGUGCAAGGCGGUGCCACUGCCUCAGAGCGUGGAUGCCAUGCCCAACACGUUCCUGGGCCAGACGCCCAAGACUGCCUCGCAGAGUGGGGUGGACGAUGCCAAAGCCGAGGUCGUGGCGUGGCUGUCCGAUAUUGAAGACCCCGACUGUCCGGAUGCCUUGCUGGCACGAGCGGCUGCGCUCACAGAGCAGAUACGGGCGGCCGUCUUCGCUCAGACUGGCUUUCGCUGCUCUGCUGGGAUUGCGCACAACAAGGUGCUGGCGAAACUGGCUUGUGGUCUGCACAAGCCCAACAAGCAAACAGUCCUGACUGAGGCAGGGGUGCCAGUCCUGUUUGCCACGCUUCCUGUUCACAAGCUGCGCAAGCUUGGUGGCAAGUUGGGCCAAGACAUUCAGAAGCUCCUCCAGGUGGAAGUGGUGGCCGACGUGUUGCGGUUCUCCCAGGAUCAGCUCUCCUCCUCCUUUGGCCACAAGACGGGUACAUGGCUGUAUCAGCUUGUUCGUGGCAUUGACCUUGAGCCAGUGACCCCCCGCAAGCUGGCCCAGUCCAUCGGUUGUGGCAAGAACUUCCGGGGCAAGCUCGCCCUUGACACAACAACCAAGGUGAAGCACUGGCUGGAGCAGCUGUCUGAAGAGCUAGUCGAACGACUCCUGAGGGAUCGGGAACAGAACCAGCGGAUUGCCCAGUUGUUGGUGAUUAGUGUGCGGAAAGCGGGACAGGAAGGUGGCACUUCACGGUCCUGCCAGCUGAUCGCUUAUGACGCCGCCAGGGUUACAAAGGAUGCAUUGGCCACUGUGAUGAAGCUGAACACGACUGCUGGAGCAUCCAGAGACACCUGGACGCCACCGUUGACAAAUGUCUCAUUAGUAGCGACAAAGUUUCGGGACAGCUUGGAAGAUGGGUCUCAGGAAAUCUCAAAGUUCCUUGUGCGACACUCCAAGGAGGCCGACGAGUCUAAGAAGCCAACAUUAGCACCACUGCCACCCACAAAGCCGCGGAAAGGCCAGAAAACUACUGAAAAAUCGGAGGACGAUGGCAAAGGGCCUGUGGUUAAAGAGGGGCCAACACCGUCACAUUCCUCGGUAACGCCCAAGAAAGAGGAGGAGCUCAACGACACCCUUCCAUUUUCAGAAAAGCUUGCAAUGAUCCUCCAAAGCCCCCGAGAUUCUAGGAAGCAGAGUGAUGGUUCGCCACCCACAGUGGCAGAGCAACAUCGUGUGGAAGAGGUGAAACGCGUGCUGCCAAUCACGGAGUCAUCGGCCUCACCGAAAAAGAGUGUGAAGGUGACGGCAACCAAGGCUAAGAAAACAACAUCGAAGAAGAGCACCAAGAAGUCUACAUCGGAGGUUCCGAAACUGAGCUACUUUGAGAAGAUGUGGACGACCAAAAGUGAUGCGAAUGCAGAAGCAGCUUCCUGUGUGGACAGCUUGGUGCACACUGCUAAUGCAGAAAGAAGCGUUUCUGUCAGUAGCAUCGAUAAUGCUUCGAAUGACCAGAGCCGAAAUGUGUGCGAUGCUGAUGUAUUGCCUGGGCCUGCCUUCCUUAACGAGAACAGUGAUGACUCAACACGCAGUUCAGUCCUAUCGAAUGCAGACGGCCCGAAACCUUUGACCAUUGUUGGAAGUGUGGAUACUGCUGACAAGAUUUCACCACCUACCUCGUUCGACAAUGCUGUGUGCUUUAUUGAUGCGAAUAGUGAUGUGGAGAGUGGUUUAGGAGGAAGUGAGGGUCAUCUGUCGAUAGACCCGGGUUUGCUGCACAAGUGUGAACAGUGCGGAAAGACUGUCGUGGUCUGGAAGAAAGAGGAGCACGAUGACUAUCAUGUUGCGCUGAACCUUAGUCAGGCUGAGCGUGCCGCUAUGGCAUCACCCAAAGUGAUGGCCGCCGGUCGGAAACGAACUGCUUCAACGACAACGAAGAAGAUGUCUCGAACGAAGAAAGCAUGCGCUGACAAAACAAGGACGUUGAAAGACUUUUUCUCGUAAUUGCGAUUAUGACAUUUAAAAAAAUGUAAUUUAAGAUAUGAAUGGUGGCCUUGUAUAGCUUUAUUCCUGUGGUGAUCUUCUGUGGCACUUUAGAGUGAUAUUUAGCAUAGAAGUGAAAUCUAAUGCAAGUUCAUAGAUCUUUUAGUAUGCUGUAAUUUUUAUGCUUUUCUUAUGAAGACCAGGUAUAUCUUGUACAGAGGCCAACUGGCUCACGGUGAUUUUAUUAUUUAGCUUGUAUGUAAAAAUUGAGAUGGACUCUAUCCACAAUCGCAUAUAUUUAUUAGCAUGCAGUGACAUUGCAGUGACACAUGCAGUGAUUUGCAUGUGGCAUUUAAAAUUGUUUGUUGAAUAUGUGCAAAGCCGUAUUGUUUCUUGUCUUUUUUGUUUAUGGAGAUCCUUGGUGAAUGUCUGAUUUCACCAGUUGUUGAAUUUAGAAGUAAUUUACAAUUAUGUUUGGAUUCUAUUGACAAAAACAUUGUGAUUUUUGUACAGUCAUACCUUGUUACUACGAAGUCGCGUCCGAUAUGAAAAUGCCUUUCUUAUAUUCGAUAUUCGUCAUGAGCAUAUGCCGUAUUUACUAGCGUAAUUCCCACACUCGCAUAAUGCUCGAAACCCAAAACAUUAUCCAUCAAAACGUAAUAUUUUUUCUUUCCUCAAUUGAUUGCUGCACCCUUGAAAAUUGCUGCAGCAAUUGUCAUCUUGUUGUUUCGGCCGGUGAUAAUGAUAGUGCAUGGCAGCUGAGACACGGUCGAUGCGUGCAAUCACAAUUUAAUCCAAUCCAAACUGCAAGUGGCAAGGUUUCUGCGAAUUCGUGAAGUUUCUGAGUAGCAAGUGGGCAGCAACCCCGGCAUUGUUUGCCUCUAGUCUCGCUUCGCCAUAGGGUGACAUGGAAGCUACAUGUCUGGUUUCAAGCUGAAGGCCGAAGCA
rnacentral:misc_RNA from 1 species